rnacentral:lncRNA from 1 species
UGAAGAUCGUCCCGUGGCAUUUGUGGUGGCUGUUGUACUACCUAUCCGCCUGCUCCGGUAAGUCCGUCUUUAUACUUAGACUCACUUUAUCCCAUCGAAGAAGGCGCGUGGCGUUUGUCGCGCCAUUGUUCCUCCUACACCAGUCCGAGAAGCCGCUGCCAAAGUUUGGGAAGGAAGCCCGGUCAACACCGAGAAGCCAAACUGGUAAAACCGCAUUUCCGCGGGGGUGGCAAUCGGAAAUCGGCCCAGCUUCCGGUUAAUUACGCCUGAAACCCGUCGCUGUCGUCGAAAGUGGGCGGGAGUGCCGCCCUUUUCCCGCUUUUCGUCAUUUUAGGUACAGCCAACAGAUGGCGUGGGCGAAGGGACGAUCCGAGGUCCAGCCGAGGAGAGAAAGUGGACGAAAUGGAGUGUAUUUUAAGUAGUCUAAACUCUAAACCUGUGUCUAUAGAACUGCUAUACGUGGUCUUGGAUGGUGCCGUUAAUCGACUGGUUUUCAUUCUAUUCUGGAGGAAAUGCCAUCUGCUCGUUACCUGUCAGAUAGCCGAAUGUCCGGGUAGCUUACGUAACAAUGUUUACAUUGUAGGAGGAAAAACGAAACCAGGCACUAAAGUCGGCAGGGUAGUACCACGCUAAUCAGUGCCCGGGGAAACCAGAUACGUACGCAGGCGUUUAU